rnacentral:lncRNA from 10 species
GCUUUAAUUAUUUGCUUUAUAAAUGAGCAAAAGUAUUAAAAUCUCUACAUAAAGGUAAAUGACAAUGGAUAAUUGCCAUUCAUUUAAUCAUUUGAUAAAUAUAUAUUGAAUACUUGUUCUGGGCCAAGUCCUCAAGAUAAAAUAUUAAGACAUUUGGUAUUUUUUAUCUAACACAAAAGCCCAUAUAGCAAACAUAUAUAUGAUUAUAUUAUAUAGCAAGAAAAUAUAUAAAUAAAAUUUCAUAUAUUCAUUACACAUUUUAAAUGCAUAUAUAUGCCAUAGGAAAAUGUGUGAAAAGAUUUACACCAAAAUGGUAACUAAUGGUGAUCUUCUCUGCAUGAUAGGAUUUCUGAGUAUUGUUGUCUUGUUUCUCCAUAUUUUCUAACUUUUCUACUGUGAGUAAGAAAACUAAAACCAAAACACUACGUGAGUUCAGGCCUACUGUCUAAAACUUAAUUUUAAAAGAAACUAAAGAAACUCUACUAUAAAAUUUAGGUCUAUAACUCCCAAGAAUUGUUUGAGCCUGUAUCACUUCCUACCUAGGUCUUAUCCUAGACUCAGUAGUGGGUCUCCCUUCCUCACUUCUGAUCUCUCCACUCUCUAGCUCAGACAUUUUCUGUGGUUUCUGAAUAGACACUGAAUACAUUCCAGACUAUUUGGGCUGGCAUACAAAGACUCCAGGAUUCGGCCACUGUCUGCCCUUCUGCACGUCUCUUCUACAUUUCAUUCACUGAUUCAUUCACAGAAAGUAUUUGUUGAGUAUAAAUCACUGUGCUAGGCAAUUAGAAGAGACAAAGGUAGAAGAAGAACCAUGCUCUCUUCAACCUCCAGUGUGUAGCAUAAAUUAUGUUCUUGGCACGUGCGUGCACACACCCACACUUCACAAAAACGUACAAUGUGAAGUGGGUCUGAGGGGAGGCAACACAGUGUUGAGAGAGAUAAGAAGAGGUAGCAAUUCUGCUAGAAAAUUAAGGAAGACACUGUGGCUCUGUUGCCUUUUGAGCUGGUGUUCAUUGGAUAAAUAGUUUCAACACAGAUAGGCAAAAUUUUAAACAUUUAGGACACCCUAUGGGGACCAGGAUAUCUAGAUAUUGUUUGUAUCAAGAAAGCAUCCUGAGGACUCCGUGUUCGUGUAUCUUAAGUUCAUAUUUCUUCUAGCAGUUAUAAGUAAAACAAGGGAAGGAAAUGCAGGUCUUCCCAGACUUUGCUGUACGCUAGUGGAAAGUGAUCCUCCAGUAACCGCAUCUACUGAAUGAGCUAUUAUGUAUCCUUUUUCAGAUUACCUGAGAAUGCAAUUUUUAGGACUCUACCCCACUGAAGUAAAAGCACCAUUGCUAUAAGAUAAAGUAUACUAAAAUAUAAGUAUAAAUACAAAAAUGUUAAUUUUAGCAGUUUGUAAUAGCAAAAUGCUAGAAUAUCUAUCUGCAGGGCAAUGAGCAAAUAAAGUAUUAAACUGCCAUACUGCGAACUUUAUGCCCUUUUUAAAAAAUAUAUAUAUAUUUUAGAGACAGGGUUCACUAUGUUGCUCAGGCUGGUCUCAAAACUCCUGGGCUCAAGCGAUCCUCUCAAAGUGCUGAGAUUAUAAGCGUGAGCCACCUCACCCAGCCUUAUGCACUUAUUUUUUAAAAUAAGUUCUACUUCACCUGUAAUCCCAGCACUUUGGGAGGUCAAGGUGGGUGGAUCAUGAGGUCAGGAGUUUGAGACCAGCCUGGCCAACAUGGUGAAACCCUGUCUCUACUAAAAAUACAAAAAUUAGCCGGGCGUGGUGGCGAGCACCUGUAAUCCCAGCUACUCGGGAGGCUGAGGCAGGAGAAUCGCUUGAACCCAGGAGGCAGAGGUUGCAGUGAGCCGAGAUUGCGAGAUUGCAUCACUGCACUCCAGCCUGGGCGACAGAGCAAGACUCCGUGUCAAAAAAAAAAAAAAAAGUUAUACUUGAGUAAAAUGCAUCAAAAUAUAAUAGACUGAUGGAUAGAGAAAUAGAUAACGUGAUAAAAAACAAAUACAGCAAAAUGUUAAUUGUAGUAUAUAGGUGGUGAGGAUAUAGGUGCUCACUGUUUAAUUCUUCCAAAUUUUCUGUAUGUUUGAAAAUGUUUAUAAUAAAUUAUUGGA